rnacentral:tRNA from 1 species
GGAAAUGUGCCCGAAAAAUAAGGACCUCCUUGAUAGGGAGAACAAUAGAGGCUAAAUCCCUCUCAUUUCCU